GUGGGAGCAAAGCUUGCUCGCGAUGCAGGCGCCACGGUUCCCAUGGAGACCGUGUCAGCUUCAUCGCGGGCAAGCCUUGCUCCCAC
rnacentral:misc_RNA from 1 species